CAGCAGCCGCGGGAAUACGAAGGGGGCUAGCGUUGUUCGGAUUUACUGGGCGUAAAGGGCGCGUAGGCGGACUGAUAAGUCAGGGGUGAAAUCCCAAGGCUCAACCUUGGAACUGCCUUUGAUACUGUUUGUCUUGAGUUCGAGAGAGGUAAGUGGAACUGCGAGUGUAGAGGUGAAAUUCGUAGAUAUUCGCAAGAACACCAGUGGCGAAGGCGGCUUACUGGCUCGAAACUGACGCUGAGGCGCGAAAGCGUGGGGAGCAAACAGGAUUAGAUACCCGAGUAGUCCCUGUCUCUUAUAC
rnacentral:rRNA from 1 species